UGCAGUCGAACGCUUCUUUUUCCACCGGAGCUUGCUCCACCGGAAAAAGAGGAGUGGCGAACGGGUGAGUAACACGUGGGUAACCUGCCCAUCAGAAGGGGAUAACACUUGGAAACAGGUGCUAAUACCGUAUAACAAUCAAAACCGCAUGGUUUUGAUUUGAAAGGCGCUUUCGGGUGUCGCUGAUGGAUGGACCCGCGGUGCAUUAGCUAGUUGGUGAGGUAACGGCUCACCAAGGCCACGAUGCAUAGCCGACCUGAGAGGGUGAUCGGCCACAUUGGGACUGAGACACGGCCCAAACUCCUACGGGAGGCAGCAGUAGGGAAUCUUCGGCAAUGGACGAAAGUCUGACCGAGCAACGCCGCGUGAGUGAAGAAGGUUUUCGGAUCGUAAAACUCUGUUGUUAGAGAAGAACAAGGAUGAGAGUAACUGUUCAUCCCUUGACGGUAUCUAACCAGAAAGCCACGGCUAACUACGUGCCAGCAGCCGCGGUAAUACGUAGGUGGCAAGCGUUGUCCGGAUUUAUUGGGCGUAAAGCGAGCGCAGGCGGUUUCUUAAGUCUGAUGUGAAAGCCCCCGGCUCAACCGGGGAGGGUCAUUGGAAACUGGGAGACUUGAGUGCAGAAGAGGAGAGUGGAAUUCCAUGUGUAGCGGUGAAAUGCGUAGAUAUAUGGAGGAACACCAGUGGCGAAGGCGGCUCUCUGGUCUGUAACUGACGCUGAGGCUCGAAAGCGUGGGGAGCAAACAGGAUUAGAUACCCUGGUAGUCCACGCCGUAAACGAUGAGUGCUAAGUGUUGGAGGGUUUCCGCCCUUCAGUGCUGCAGCUAACGCAUUAAGCACUCCGCCUGGGGAGUACGACCGCAAGGUUGAAACUCAAAGGAAUUGACGGGGGCCCGCACAAGCGGUGGAGCAUGUGGUUUAAU
rnacentral:rRNA from 1 species